GCGGAGCGUUGACCGCUAGCUGCUGUCAGUCACUUAGCUAACGACGGCCGUUAACCUCUUAAACCGGCACCGACCGACCGCAGCCUCGGUCCGUCUCACGAUCGGGGCCUCGACGCCACAUCCCACAUGGAGGAGACGCCUCAGACGUUUUUGUCUGAUCCUGUAAGCUGAGUGUGGGAGGAAGACACUCACCGAAAGCUGAUGAAGGCUUCGGCGUGUCAGGACGCAACUGGAGUUCAACUUUGACAUCUGCUGUAUAAAAUCACACAUUGUCAAAUAGUGGGGUGACGUCAGGGAGAUACGGCGAGAGAGCUGAACUAGAUUCCCUUAGUGUGCAUGUGUGUGGGUGUCCAGGCCCCUCGCAAUGAUCUGCAAACUGAUCACUGAGGUGUUUGAUCUUUGUAUGUAACACAAUAAAUAUACAGUAACACAUUACA